UUAAUAGAAGCCAAAAAGAGGCUAUUCACUGUUAAUGAAUAAAUUGAUAAAUCCUAUUAAA
rnacentral:tRNA from 1 species